GGCUAUGGCCAUACCAUCCUGAAAAUACAAGUCUUGUCUGAUCUUGGAAGCUAAGCAGGGUCCAACCUGGUUAGUACUUGGAAGGGAAAAUAACAAGAGCAAAUGCUU
rnacentral:rRNA from 1 species